rnacentral:rRNA from 1 species
UACGUAGGGUGCAAGCGUUGUCCGGAAUUAUUGGGCGUAAAGAGCUCGUAGGCGGUCUGUCGCGUCGGCUGUGAAAUCCCCGGGGCUUAACCCCGGGCGUGCAGUGGAUACGGGCAGGCUGGAGGCAGGCAGGGGAGAAUGGAAAUUCCCGGGUGUAGCGGUGAAAUGCGUAGAUAUCUGGAGGAAUACCGGUGGCGAAGGCGGCAUCCCGUGGACCGGCAUUGACGCUGAGGAGCGGAAAGCUAAGGGGAGCAAACGGGGGAGUCAAGAAACC